CAGCAGCCACGGUAAUACAGAGGGUGCAAGCGUUAAUCGGAAUUACUGGGCGUAAAGCGCGCGUAGGUGGUUUGUUAAGUUGGAUGUGAAAGCCCCGGGCUCAACCUGGGAACUGCAUCCAAAACUGGCAAGCUAGAGUACGGUAGAGGGUGGUGGAAUUUCCUGUGUAGCGGUGAAAUGCGUAGAUAUAGGAAGGAACACCAGUGGCGAAGGCGACCACCUGGACUGAUACUGACACUGAGGUGCGAAAGCGUGGGGAGCAAACAGGAUUAGAUACCCCAGUAGUCCCUGUCUCUUAUAC
rnacentral:rRNA from 1 species